GGAUGUGAAGACAAUAUGGGUGAGAUCUUUUGGCUCAGCCAUGGCCAGGGUUGAUUUGGAUUAUCUGACCGGCUAAGUUAGCGUCCCAUUUCUACCUCACCAUUUCAUGUCAUCUCUCCAGAAGCUGCAUGCUCAAUCAAUAAGGAUGCCCUUCCCCACAAGGAGAAGGACCAUUCUUUGUUCUAGGAUACAAAAGUAGCUAAGGUCCCCUGCUACAACCUCCAAGAAAACUUUCCCAAGUUUAGGUUCAUGCAGAACCAGAAUGUUGCUUAGUUCAGCUAAUGAGAUUUUAUACAUU
ensembl:misc_RNA 7SK 7SK RNA